CUAGCUUAUACCAUGAUGUAGCCCAUAGUUUUCUUUUCAUGAAAGCUGGACAAGAAGGACUGUUCACUAUUUUAUUCCAUAUGCUCUUCUCAAAGAGCAUUUUAACACUUUCAGAUUCCAUAGGCUGAAAAUGAUAUUUUUGCCGUCUUAAACAUGUUUGUUAUUAAAAAUAGCAUAACCUGAAAUAUUUCAGUGUUAGUUUUAUGUGAAACUUUGUAAGUGAUAUAUUUUGAAGUCACAAAAAUUUUUCCCCAGAUUGGAGCUGAUAUAAGUGGGUUUAAUGAAGAGACAGCUUAUGAACUUUACCUGAGUUGGAUGCAACUUGGGGCAUUUUAUCCCUUUUUUGGAAACCAUAAUGCAAUUGGAAAUAGGCAGGAAAAAGACCCUGGGGCGUUUGGAGAAGAGUUGCUGCGAUUUCCUGUUCUGCAUUAAGGAUGAGGUACUUCUUGUUGCCUGACUUAUGCACCCACUUCUACCAUUCUCCUGUCAGUGGAAUUGAUGCAUGAUCUAGAUUUACAUCAGGUCCUCAGGUUCAUGAAAUUGAUGGAGCAUUCCUUGGGGGCCAGCUUUCACGAUUGCUCCGGUCUUAGAGGGCUGUCUGAAAACUUUUGGCCUCAUAAAUGCUCUGGAUGAACAGGGAGAAGCAUCCGGUUCCUUUUUCUGAGAUGAUGCUGACUCUAUUGGUAAGUAGACCAACAUGUGCAACAGUUGAAAUGUUCUGGGUUUCAAUAUGACUUUACUUAAAAUGAAAGAUUGGAGACUUAAAACAAUACCACGGGGAAGAUUCUGCUUUCCCCAACUUUACUGUCGAGGAACCUGAAAUUUUCCUUAUAUCUGGCCACUCCUCUGGGUCAAACAACGCAAGUGAGACCAUUAUCUCCAGGAAGAUGCUGACAAAAUACACUAUGGUUACCUGACAGGAGAGAGCGUUUAUGUUAUUAGCAUGCUAAAAUAAAACUUUUCUCAUUAAUUUAUUCUCA
rnacentral:lncRNA from 1 species